rnacentral:lncRNA from 1 species
GGAGUGUAAUUCAGGGGAAGGUAAUUCAGGGGUAAUUCAGGGACAGGUAAUUUAUAGGAAUGUCAUUCAUGGGCAGGUGAUUGAGGGGCAUGUCAUUCAGGGACAGGUAAUUCAGGGGCCCAUAAUUUAGGGGCAGGUAAUUCAAAGGCAUGUAAUUCAGGUGUAUGUAAUUCAGGGGCAGGUAAUUCAGAUGCAGGUUAUUCAGGGACAUGUGACUCAGGGGCAGGUAAUUCAGGUGUAUGUAAUUCAGGGGCAUGUAAUUCAGGUGCAUGUAAUUCAUGGGCAGGUAAUUCAGGGGCAUGUAAUUCAGGGGAAGGUAAUUUAGGGGCAGGAACUUCAGGGGCAGAUUAUUGAGUUUCAUGUUAUUCAGGUAUAGGUUAUUCAGGGACAGGUAAUCCAGGGGUAUGUAAUUAAGGGGCAGGUCAUUCAGGGGCAUGUCAUUCAGGGGCAGGUAAUUCAGGGGCAGGUAAUUCAUGGGCAUGAAAUUCAGGGGAUGGUAAUUCAGGGGCAAUUCAGGUGCAGGUAAUUCAGGGGCAUGUAAUUCAGGUGCAUGUAAUUCUGGGUUAGGUAAUCCAGGUGCAUGUAAUUCUGGGUUAGGUAAUCCAGGGGCAUGUAAUUGAGGGGUAGUUAAUUCAGGGGUAGGUAAUUCAGGGGCAUGUAAUUCAGGGGCAUGUAAUUCAGGGGCAUGUAAUUCAUGGGUGGGUAAUUCAGGGAAGGUAAUUCAGGGACAGGUAAUUUAGAGGAAUGUCAUUCAUGGGCAGGUAAUUCAGGGGCAUGUAAUUCUGGGUUAGGUAAUCCAGGGGCAUGUAAUUCAGGGGCAGGUAAUCUAGGUGCAGGUAAUUCUGGGGCAUGUCAUUCACGGGCAGGUAAUUCAUGGGCAGGUAAUUUAGGGAUAGAUAAUUCAGGGUCAGGUCAUACAGGUGCAUGUAAUUAAGAGGCAUGUAAUUGAGGGGCAGAUAAUUCAGGGCCAUGUAAUUCAGGGGCAGGUAAUUCAGUUGCAUGUAAUUUAGGGGCAGGUAAUUCAGGGGUAUGUAAUUUUGGGGCAGGUAAUUCAGGUGUAUCUUAUUCUGGUGUAUGUUAUUCAGGGGCAUGUAAUUCAGGGGCAGUUAAUCCAGGGACAUGACAUUCACGGGCAGGUAAUUCCGGGGCAGGUAAUUUAGGGAUAGAUAAUUGAGGGGCAUAUCAUUCAGGGUCAGGUCAUUCAUGUGCAUGUAAUUAAGAGGCAUGUAAUUCAGGGGCAUCUAAUUCAGGUGUUUGUAAUUCAGGGGCAGGUAAUUCAGAUGCAUGUAAUUUAGGGGAAGGUAAUUCAGGGGUAUGUAAUUCAGGGGUAGGUAAUUUAGAGGAAUGUCAUUCAUUGGCAGAUAAUUCCGGGACAUGUAAUUCAGGGGCAUGUAAUUCAGGGAAAGGUAAUUGAGGGGCAGGUAAUUCAGGUGCAUGUAAUUCAGGGACAUGUAACUCAGGGGCAGGUAAUUCAAGGGCAGGUAAUACAGGGGCAUGUAAUUAAGGGGCAGGAAAUUCAGGGCCAUGUAAUUCAGGGCCAUGUAAUUAAGGAGCAGGUAAUUGAGGGGCAGUUAAUUGAGGGGCAUGAAAUUCAGGGGCGGGUAAUUCAGGGGUAAUGUAAUCCAGGGGCAGGUAAUGCAGCGGUUGGUAAUUUAGAGGAAUGUCAUUCAGGGACAUGUAAUUCAGGGGAAGGUAAUUGACGGGCAGGUAAUUCAGGGUCAUGUAACUCAGGUUCAGGUAAUUAAGGGGCAGGACAUUCAGGUGCAUGUAUUUCAGGGCCACGUUAUUACCUCCCUUAAGUAGUUAUCUCCCUUAAGUAUGUAGUUAUCGUAAUAUACGCUUUGUCGCUCUUAGACUCUUUCCGUUAUUUCACUGCGACCAUGGUGGAGCACCGCCUUUAGUGAAGCAAAUCAAGCCCAGGAAUUAUUCUUUGUAUGCCUAUUACUUAAUGUAUAGGUCUCUUUUGCAGAACCGAUAAGUUACGGGGACGUAAUGUUCGAUAUACUUAUUUAGUAGUUAUUUAUUUAUUGUAAGAAUUUCAAUUAUCAUAAAUUAUGGGCUAGGAAAAAUACUAGAAACUUUUUUGAUAGACCUAUUGGGGCUCCUUGUGUGUGUGGGACUGUUUUUAUUUAUGUGAGUGUGGGUAUUUUCAUUUCAGUGUUUGUGUGUGAGAGUGUUUUUAUUUCUGUGUGCGCGAGUGUGUGAGCGACUGAGUGUUUCUAUUUGUUUGUGUGUACGUCACUUACAACUACAACAAACACUUUGACCAUUUGUAAGAUACCCACAUUUGUGAUCACUAAAUACUAAAUCAAAAUAAGUCAAUUUAUUGCACCUUCAUAUACACACACACACACACACACACACAUGUAUGUGUUUGUGUAUUUAUAUGUCGUACAUAGCGUCGUAUAUAUAUAUAUAUAUUUAUAUUUAUAUAUAAAUAUAUACAUACAGAUAUACGUGAAUAUACCAACACACGUAUAUGUAGUAUCUAAAAGAAACUGUAAGGGAUGGAAUGGGAGUUCAUUCCGUUUUAUUAAGAAAACUAGCAUCUGUAUGUGUGAUAGUACGUGCGUGCAUUCUCGUGUGCCCUUCGAGUGCGAACAUACACAGACACACACAAACACGCACGCACACACGCACACACACACACACACACGCACGCACAUGCACACACACACACACACAUUUAAACGUAUAUACGACGAGAU